CAAUAGCGUAUAUUAAAGUUGCUGCAGUUAAAAAGCUCGUAGUUGGAUUUCUGGUUGAAGCGACCGGUCGGGCGUUGAUUCGUCUGCACUGGAGUCGGUUUUGGCCAUCCUCUAGGAAAGUGCGUCUGGUAUUAAGUUAUCGGGCGUAUGAUCCUGGUCUUUUACUGUGAAAAAAUUAGAGUGUUUAAAGCAGGCCUUCGCCUUGAAUACAUUAGCAUGGAAUAAUAAGAUAGGACUUUGGUCUAUUUUGUUGGUUUGCAGACCGAAGUAAUGAUUAAUAGGGAUAGUUGGGGGUAUUUAUAUUCCGAUGUCAGAGGUGAAAUUCUUAGAUUUUCGGAAGAUAAACUUAUGCGAAAGCAUUUACCAAGGAUGUUUNCAUUAA
rnacentral:rRNA from 1 species